GCUUUUUCCAGUGGAAAAAUGUCUCAUGACAGGUACGAUAAAAAAUUAAGAGCACGUUCCUGCCCUCUCUGGCCUCUUCUUCAGAGAAGAUUCAGAGCAGGCUGCACUGCAGGGACAGGAGGACGGUGAAGAAAUUUGGCAGCAUGUGACCUCCAGAAGAAGAAAGGGGAGCGUCCAUGUACCAGCAACGCAGACACAGCUUCCCAAGGAGUAACAUUGACAUUGGCUGGAGCAACAUCAAGUGGAUACCCCUUCUGGCUGAACAUCUUAUGCAGCAAGCAGGAAAGUGAAGUAAAAAUGUCUUCUGUGGCCAUCCCCUGCCAUCUCGCUGUGUUGGGUAAACCAAGUCAAUCAGGAUGUACCGUUGUUAGCUUCUUGGCAUUGUCUUAAUGAGGAGGCAGCGUGCUCCAGUGCAUUGAAUGCUGGACUGAGAGUCAAGACCUGGCUUUUAUUCCACUGACUUGCUAGAUGUCACAACCUUAAACAAGUAAUUUUAACAUCUCUGCCUCCAAUGUGUAUCCCCCUUUGUACAAUGCUUUGAGAGCUGUCGGCGGAAAGCACUAUGCCAACCUACUGCAAUUAUUUUAUUUCUAUAUAGUACUGUGCCCACAUAUCUAUUCAGGGGACACCAUCACAGGGCCUAAUAACAUCAGUCACACUAUCAGAGGCUCGUUCACCUGCACAUCCACCAAUGUGAUAUAUGCCAUCAUGUGCCAGCAAUGCCCCUCUGCCAUGUACAUUGGUCAAACUGGACAGUCUCUACGUAAAAGAAUAAAUGGACACAAAUCAGAUGUCAAGAAUUAUAACAUUCAUAAACCAGUCGGAGAACACUUCGAUCUCUCUGGUCACGCAAUCACUGACAUGAAGGUCACUAUCUUAUAACAAAAAAACUUCAAAUCCAGACUCCAGCGAGAAACUGCUGAAUUGGAAUUCAUUUGCAAAUUGGAUACUAUUAAUUUAGGCUUAAAUAGAGACUGGGAGUGGCUAAGUCAUUAUGCAAGGUAGCCUAUUUCCCCUUGCUUUUUCCUACCCCUCCCCCCCGACAUUCUGGUUAAACUUGGAUUUAAACUUGGAGAGUGGUCAGUUUGGAUGAGCUAUUGCCAGCAGGAGAGUGAGUUUAUGUGUGUGUGUGUGUGUU